CAGCAGCCGCGGUAAUACGUAGGGUGCGAGCGUUAAUCGGAAUUACUGGGCGUAAAGCGUGCGCAGGCGGUUGUGUAAGACAGGUGUGAAAUCCCCGGGCUUCACCUGGGAACUGCGCUUGUGACUGCACAGCUAGAGUAUGGCAGAGGGGGGUGGAAUUCCACGUGUAGCAGUGAAAUGCGUAGAGAUGUGGAGGAACACCGAUGGCGAAGGCAGCCCCCUGGGCCAAUACUGACGCUCAUGCACGAAAGCGUGGGGAGCAAACAGGAUUAGAUACCCCUGUAGUCCCUGUCUCUUAUAC
rnacentral:rRNA from 1 species